rnacentral:miRNA from 1 species
CCUUGAGCUCACUUUGUAGCCCAGGCUGGCCUUAAAUUUGCAGUGAUCUUUCUGCCUCAGCCUCCUGAGUGCUGGGGU